AUUGAACGCUGGCGGCAGGCCUAACACAUGCAAGUCGAGCGAGCGGCGGACGGGUGAGUAAUGUAUGGGGACUGCCCGAUAGAGGGGGAUAACUACUGGAAACGGUGGCUAAUACCGCAUACUAUCGGAUAACCCAUAUGGGAUUAGCUAGUAGGUGGGGUAAAGGCUCACCUAGGCGACGAUCUGUAGAUGGUCUGAGAGGAUAAUAAGCCAACCUGGGAUGGAGACAAGGCCCAGACCCAUAGGGAGGCAGGAGUGGGGAAUAUUGCAUAAGGGGCUGAAGCCUGAUCCGGCCAGGCCGCGGGUAGUAAGAAGGUCUUGGGGUGUUAAAGUACUUUUAGUGGGGAGGCGUUACCAGAAGAAGAAGAACCGGCUAACUCCGUGCCAGCAGCCGCGGUAAUAC
rnacentral:rRNA from 1 species